rnacentral:rRNA from 1 species
GACGAACGCUGGCGGCGUGCUUAACACAUGCAAGUCGAGCGGAGCGGCGGACGGGUGAGUAAUGCCUAGGAAUCUGCCUGGUAGUGGGGGAUAACGUCCGGAAACGGGCGCUAAUACCGCAUACUAUCAGAUGAACCCAUAUGGGAUUAGCUAGUUGGUGAGGUAAUGGCUCACCAAGGCGACGAUCCCUAGCUGGUCUGAGAGGAUGAUCAGCCACACUGGGACUGAGACACGGCCCAGACUCCUACGGGAGGCAGCAGUGGGGAAUAUUGCACAAUGGGCGCAAGCCUGAUGCAGCCAUGCCGCGUGUAUGAAGAAGGCCCUAGGGUUGUAAAGUACUUUCAGUCGGGAGGCGUUACCGACAGAAGAAGCACCGGCUAACUCCGUGCCAGCAGCCGCGGUAAUAC